rnacentral:RNase_P_RNA from 1 species
GGCGGGGCGACUGAGCAACGGAAGAUCAUUCUUCUGAGGAAAGUCUACCCACCACACAAAAGGCAACUCAAUUAAUUGAGAUUCAGUAAUGGAUGGCAACGUCGCAGAAACGAACCGUGCGGUUAAAAGAUGAUGUGGGAAACACCUGGUGACAAGUGCAUAACCUGCGGAUGUUUAUCGUGCCUGGAUGAAACGGACAGCCCUUGCCUGGUGCAAGCUUCGAGCGCUAAGUAGAAUGCCCAGACGCUGGUUCCACUGCUUCAAUGCAGUAUCUUUGAAAUAAAACAAAGAAUGACAGCGGACAAAAGGUAGCUUAUGCCUGCCCAACC